rnacentral:ncRNA from 2 species
AGGGCUGGAAGAGGUGCGUUAUUCAGGUAGCGUAUGUUAGGAGCACAAACUCCAUUGAGCAUACGUAAGGGGAAUCAACGCCGAGAAACAACAAUAUUUGUGUCAUUGUUGUUUCGGGCGACUAGGUUGAAUCCUAGCGACUGUCACCAAUAGCUAUUUAAACGUAGCUUAUUAGUUUGGUGGAGAGCUUCUGGUCUU